rnacentral:rRNA from 1 species
AGAACGGGCGGCAGCUUACACAUGCAGUCGAGCGGAACGAUACCAGCUUGCUGGUAGGCGUCGAGCGGCGGACGGGUGAGUAAUACUUAGGAAUCUACCUAGUAGUGGGGGAUAGCUCGGGGAAACUCGAAUUAAUACCGCAUACGACCUACGGGAGAAAGGGGGCAGUUUACUGCUCUCGCUAUUAGAUGAGCCUAAGUCGGAUUAGCUAGAUGGUGGGGUAAAGGCCUACCAUGGCGACGAUCUGUAGCUGGUCUGAGAGGAUGAUCAGCCACACCGGGACUGAGACACGGCCCGGACUCCUACGGGAGGCAGCAGUGGGGAAUAUUGGACAAUGGGGGAAACCCUGAUCCAGCCAUGCCGCGUGUGUGAAGAAGGCCUUUUGGUUGUAAAGCACUUUAAGCAGUGAAGAAGACUCCUCGGUUAAUACCCGUGGACGAUGACAUUAGCUGCAGAAUAAGCACCGGCUAACUCUGUGCCAGCAGCCGCGGUAAUACAGAGGGUGCAAGCGUUAAUCGGAAUUACUGGGCGUAAAGCGAGCGUAGGUGGCUUGAUAAGUCAGAUGUGAAAUCCCCGGGCUUAACCUGGGAACUGCAUCUGAAACUGUUAGGCUAGAGUAGGUGAGAGGAAGGUAGAAUUCCAGGUGUAGCGGUGAAAUGCGUAGAGAUCUGGAGGAAUACCGAUGGCGAAGGCAGCCUUCUGGCAUCAUACUGACACUGAGGCUCGAAAGCGUGGGUAGCAAACAGGAUUAGAUACCCUGGUGGUCCACGCCGUAAACGAUGUCUACUAGUCGUUGGGUCCCUUGAGGACUUAGUGACGCAGCUAACGCAAUAAGUAGACCGCCUGGGGAGUACGGCCGCAAGGUUAAAACUCAAUGAAUUUGACGGGGGCCCGCACAAGCGGUGGAGCAUGUGUUUAAUUCGAUGCAACGCGAGACCUUACCUGGUCCUGACUAUCUAGAAUCCUGCAGAGAUGCGGGAGUGCCUUCGGGAUUAGAUACAGGUGCUGCAUGGCUGUCGUCAGCCUCGUGUCGU